rnacentral:lncRNA from 1 species
AUGGCGGAGACGGAGGCGAGGCUAUGCACCCGGUACGGCGCGGCCGCCGCCAAGGCCACCCUGGCGUGCAACAUCCUCGCCCCCGUCGCCGGCCGGCUGAGCGGCCACCCGUCGGAGCUCCACCGCCGCUGCAUCCUGCUCCGCCGCCUCAGCAGCAGCCGGAACACCGGCACUACGGCCGACCUCGCUUCUCGGCCGCCCGUCGAGGCGGUCGCCGUCUCCGGCGCCCUCCGCACGGCCAUCGUCGUCUUCGAGACCGUCGCCGGGUGGCGGGCGGCGGCGGCGGCGACGCUGAGCGCGAGCUGCGACACCGUCCCUCCCCUCUACUUCGGCCCUCCUAUCGUCCUCGUCGACGGCCGAGACAUCAAGGUGCCGCUCCAUCCGAAGAAGCCUGCUGCUGCUUCGCCGGGAGGGAAGGACGUGGUGUCGUCGUUCGGAGACGAGAUACGGUGGCCGCCGGUGUUAGCCACGGCGUCGCCGGUGUCCAUCCCAUCGUUGUCGGGGUGGCCGAUCGAUAUGAAUGGUGGUCCUGGGCUCCCUCGCCUCGACGUCGGCGGCCGCAGCUGCAACAAAUACGACUUUGGGAACCUCUUUUAAACAAUUGGAU